GGAUGAACGCUAGCGGCAGGCCUAAUACAUGCAAGCUGAACGGUAACUUUUGUAGCAAUACGGAAGCUAGAGUAGCGUAAGGGUGCGUAACACGUAUGCAAUCUGCCCGUAACAGGAGGAUAGCUCCCCGAAAGGGGAAUUAAUACUCCAUAAGAUCACACGAGGGCAUCUGAGGGUGAUUAAAACUGAGGUGGUUACGGAUGAGCAUGCGGCUGAUUAGCUAGUUGGUAGUGUAACGGACUACCAAGGCGAUGAUCAGUAGGGGAACUGAGAGGUUGGUCCCCCACACUGGCACUGAGAUACGGGCCAGACUCCUACGGGAGGCAGCAGUAGGGAAUAUUGGACAAUGGGUGCGAGCCUGAUCCAGCCAUGCCGCGUGCAGGAAGAAAGCCUUCUGGGUUGUAAACUGCUUUUAACUGGGGAUAAAAAGCUCUUGCGAGAGAAAUUGAAGGUACCAGUUGAAUAAGCCACGGCUAACUACGUGCCAGCAGCCGCGGUAAUACGUAGGUGGCAAGCGUUGUCCGGAUUUAUUGGGUUUAAAGGGUGCGUAGGCGGUCCAUUAAGUCAGUUGUGAAAUACGGCAGCUUAACUGUCGAGGUGCAAUUGAUACUGGUGGACUUGAGUACUGAUGAGGUAGGCGGAAUGGACGGUGUAGCGGUGAAAUGCUUAGAGAUCGUCCAGAACACCGAUAGCGAAGGCAGCUUACUAAGGAGUAACUGACGCUGAGGCACGAAAGUGUGGGGAUUAAACAGGAUUAGAUAUCCUGGUAGUCCACACUGUAAACGAUGAUUACUCGAUGUGUGCGAUACACAGCACGCGUCUUAGCAAAAGCGAUAAGUAAUCCACCUGGGGAGUACGCCGGCAACGGUGAAACUCAAAG
rnacentral:rRNA from 1 species